rnacentral:rRNA from 1 species
GAUGAACGCUGGCGGCGUGCCUAAUACAUGCAAGUCGAGCGAACGGACGAGAAGCUUGCUUCUCUGAUGUUAGCGGCGGACGGGUGAGUAACACGUGGAUAACCUACCUAUAAGACUGGGAUAACUUCGGGAAACCGUAGCUAAUACCGGAUAAUAUUUUGAACCGCAUGGUUCAAAAGUUAAAGACGUUCUUGCUGUCACUUAUAGAUGGAUCCGCGCUGCAUUAGCUAGUUGGUAAGGUAACGGCUUACCAAGGCAACGAUGCAUAGCCGACCUGAGAGGGUGAUAGGCCACACUGGAACGGAGACACGGUCCAGACUCCUACGGGAGGCAGCAGUAGGGAAUCUUCCGCAAUGGGCGAAAGACUGACGGAGCAACGCCGCGUGAGUGAUGAAGGUCUUCGGAUCGUAAAACUCUGUUAUUAGGGAAGAACAUAUGUGUAAGUAACUGUGCACAUCUUGACGGUACCUAAUCAGAAAGCCACGGCUAACUACGUG